ensembl:lncRNA
AUGAUGGAGAGAGGGUGGUCCCUCCCCGCAAGAACAGCACUGACCCCCCCGAAGGGGAUUUUGCAACCCUUACACUACGCUUCAUGCAGGUGGAAUCCUUCCCGCCCCCCUCAGUCCUUCCAUUCUCAUAGAGCACAGACAGCUAAGUCCUCAUGUCCUCAUGCCUGCUUUGACCAGCAAAGUCAAGUGACCCAAAUGUUGCACCUUUUCCGGGGAAGGUCCAUGACUGAGAAACAGAAGGAGCUUAUUGCAGGUGAGGGGGCCCAAGCUGGGAGCGAGAGGGGCUGUGGCUGCACUGGGCUGGGCUCACAGGCCUGCAGUCGGGCGGGGGCAGCAGAAGCCACAGGAGGAUUCUGAAACGGGAGGAGAAAGGCAAGUGAUGUGUAUGGGCCAAGGGUGGAUGGCAGGGCGAGCAUCAGGAGUGGCGCCGGUUCACCCAAUCCCUUGCCAGUCAGGGCACAAGGCGGGUGGAGGGCACUUGGCUGUGUCCUGCUCAGUGGAAACAAGACUGACUUCCAGGACAACUGGGACCGGAAGGGGAGGCAGUGUAACCAGAACGGACCCCAAGGGAGCUUUGCUUUGAGGCUAAGAUGAUUCACAGAGGCCUGGACCCAGGAAGGAGAGGAGGGCAGGCCUUGGCAGCUAGGGCUUCUCAGCCUGGGAGCUUGGGAUGACACUAAUGAAAACUCCCAGACCCUGAAGGACAGAUACAAAGGAAACAUUUGACUCAAGACCUUUUACAGAAGCCCUCCAUCUCAUCCUCCCCUGUCCAUUUUCAGACAAGGGCAGUGCCUGAAGGCCUUGGCUGGCUCAGGAGCACACAGCCAGGGAGACUGGCCUCCAGAGGUGCUGUGACCUCACACCACGGAUUCCACUGGGGCGUUGGGUGAGAUGGACACGGUGGGUGUUACAAUCUAGGGCAAAUUCAUCCAGAGGAACCUGCCCCGUGGGGGGACCUCUCCCCAUUCCCAAAAAGAGACUCUAGACCCCGAGAGAAGUUCCUCAGAAGCCGUCACCCUCCAGCCUGCACACUGCGUGUCCCUGCCACUUCCCUCAGGGGCCUGGCAGCCCCACACAGGGCCCCUCAGAGCAGCAUAUCUGUGCGUGUGUCCACACCAGCCGAGCCUGAGCUUGUUCGUGACGGAACUUGUGAGCUCAGAUCGCAGUCAGCAGAAGUUCCUGGGAAACAACGCCAAGUUCCCUGGAGUCAGCAGGGGGAAUCUUGACUGAGGUCAGACUGAGCGGUCCUGGGGGUCAGCAGCUGCCCUCACUCCCUGCUCAGUGCCCCGGGAGGAGGAUGCUCCCAACAGUCCUGGUGUGAAAAGGCCUGGGCAUCCUGGGCAGGGGGAGCAAUGAGGAGUGACCUCCUCCUGCCCGGUUUGAGCGUCUGCCUCAGGAUCCUGCUGAGGGACCCUGGCUCUCAGGGAAGUGGGGGCCUGCUUCCUAGUGAAGCUUUGCUUUGAGGCUAAGAUGAUUCACAGAGGCCUGGACCCAGGAAGGAGAGGAGGGCAGGCCUUGGCAGCUAGGGCUUCUCAGCCUGGGAGCUUGGGAUGACACUAAUGAAAACUCCCAGACCCUGAAGGACAGAUACAAAGGAAACAUUUGACUCAAGACCUUUACAGAAGCCCUCCAUCUCAUCCUCCCUGUCCAUUUUCAGACAAGGGCAGUGCCUGAAGGCCUUGGCUGGCUCAGGAGCACACAGCCAGGGAGACUGGCCUCCAGAGGUGCUGUGACCUCACACCACGGAUUCCACUGGGGCGUUGGGUGAGAUGGACACGGUGGGUGUUACAAUCUAGGGCAAAUUCAUCCAGAGGAACCUG